UACGGUUGUUGGAACGCCGUUUCUCUUACGAUCAUCGAAGUUAAGCAACGCCAGAGCCUGGUCAGUAUCUAGAUGGGUGACCGCUUGGGAAUACUAGGUGUU